UACGUAGGGUGCAAGCGUUGUCCGGAAUUAUUGGGCGUAAAGAGCUCGUAGGCGGUCUGUCGCGUCUGCUGUGAAAACUCGGGGCUUAACCCCGGGCCUGCAGUGGGUACGGGCAGACUAGAGUGCGGUAGGGGAGACUGGAAUUCCUGGUGUAGCGGUGAAAUGCGCAGAUAUCAGGAGGAACACCGGUGGCGAAGGCGGGUCUCUGGGCCGAGACUGACGCUGAGGCGCGAAAGCGUGGGGAGCAAACAGG
rnacentral:rRNA from 1 species